rnacentral:rRNA from 1 species
GGCGUCGAGCGGCGGACGGGUGAGUAAUGCCUAGGAAAUUGCCCUGAUGUGGGGGAUAACCAUUGGAAACGAUGGCUAAUACCGCAUGAUGCCUACGGGCCAAAGAGGGGGACCUUCGGGCCUCUCGCGUCAGGAUAUGCCUAGGUGGGAUUAGCUAGUUGGUGAGGUAAGGGCUCACCAAGGCGACGAUCCCUAGCUGGUCUGAGAGGAUGAUCAGCCACACUGGAACUGAGACACGGUCCAGACUCCUACGGGAGGCAGCAGUGGGGAAUAUUGCACAAUGGGCGCAAGCCUGAUGCAGCCAUGCCGCGUGUGUGAAGAAGGCCUUCGGGUUGUAAAGCACUUUCAGUCGUGAGGAAGGUAGUGUAGUUAAUAGCUGCAUUAUUUGACGUUAGCGACAGAAGAAGCACCGGCUAACUCCGUGCCAGCAGCCGCGGUAAUACGGAGGGUGCGAGCGUUAAUCGGAAUUACUGGGCGUAAAGCGCAUGCAGGUGGUUUGUUAAGUCAGAUGUGAAAGCCCGGGGCUCAACCUCGGAAUUGCAUUUGAAACUGGCAGACUAGAGUACUGUAGAGGGGGGUAGAAUUUCAGGUGUAGCGGUGAAAUGCGUAGAGAUCUGAAGGAAUACCGGUGGCGAAGGCGGCCCCCUGGACAGAUACUGACACUCAGAUGCGAAAGCGUGGGGAGCAAACAGGAUUAGAUACCCUGGUAGUCCACGCCGUAAACGAUGUCUACUUGGAGGUUGUGGCCUUGAGCCGUGGCUUUCGGAGCUAACGCGUUAAGUAGACCGCCUGGGGAGUACGGUCGCAAGAUUAAAACUCAAAUGAAUUGACGGGGGCCCGCACAAGCGGUGGAGCAUGUGGUUUAAUUCGAUGCAACGCGAAGAACCUUACCUACUCUUGACAUCCAGAGAACUUUCCAGAGAUGGAUUGGUGCCUUCGGGAACUCUGAGACAGGUGCUGCAUGGCUGUCGUCAGCUCGUGUUGUGAAAUGUUGGGUUAAGUCCCGCAACGAGCGCAACCCUUAUCCUUGUUUGCCAGCGAGUAAUGUCGGGAACUCCAGGGAGACUGCCGGUGAUAAACCGGAGGAAGGUGGGGACGACGUCAAGUCAUCAUGGCCCUUACGAGUAGGGCUACACACGUGCUACAAUGGCGCAUACAGAGGGCAGCCAACUUGCGAAAGUGAGCGAAUCCCAAAAAGUGCGUCGUAGUCCGGAUUGGAGUCUGCAACUCGACUCCAUGAAGUCGGAAUCGCUAGUAAUCGUGGAUCAGAAUGCCACGGUGAAUACGUUCCCGGGCCUUGUACACACCGCCCGUCACACCAUGGGAGUGGGCUGCAAAAGAAGUAGGUAGUUUAACCUUCGGGGGGACGCUUACCACUUUGUGGUUCAUGACUGGGGUGAAGUCGUAACAAGGUAGCGCUAGGGGAACCUGGCGCUGGAUCACCUCCUUA